rnacentral:rRNA from 1 species
CGAAGGAUGCAAGCGUUAUCCGGAUUCAUUGGGUUUAAGGGUGCGUAGGCGGACUUGUAAGUCAGUGGUGAAAUCUCUUCGCUUAACGAAGAAACUGCCAUUGAUACUGCAAGUCUAGAGUAUAGAUGACGUUGGCGGAAUAUGACAUGUAGUGGUGAAAUACUUAGAUAUGUCAUAGAACACCGAUUGCGAAGGCAGCUAACGAAACUAUAACUGACGCUGAGGCACGAAAGUGCGGGGAUCAAACAGGAUUAGAUACCCUGGUAGUCCGCACCGUAAACGAUGAUUACUCGUUGUUGGCGAUAUGACAGUCAGCGACCAAGCGAAAGCGAUAAGUAAUCCACCUGGGGAGUACGCCGGCAACGGUG